rnacentral:rRNA from 1 species
CCUACGUGGGGCAGCAGUGGGGAAUAUUGCACAAUGGGGUAAACCCUGAUGCAGCGACGCCGCGUGAGUGAAGAAGUAUUUCUGUAUGUAAAGCUCUAUCAGCAGGGAAGCGAAUGACGGUACCUGAGUCAGAAGCCCCGUGUAACUACGUGCCAGCAGCCGCGGUAAUACGGAAGGGGCAAGCGUUAUCCGGAUUUACUGGGUGUAAAGGGAGCGUAUACGGGGAAAAAAGUCUGAAGUGAAAACCGGCGGCUUAACCCCGGUACUGCUUUGGAAACUUUUUUUCUUGAGUACCGGAGAGGUAAGCGGAAUGCCUAGUGUAGCGGUGAAAUGCGUAGAUAUUAGGAGGAACACCAGUGGCGAAGGCGGCUUACUGGACGGUAACUGACGCUGAGGCUCGAAAGCGUGGGGAGCAAACAGGAUUAGAUACCCCAGUAGUC